UACAGAGGUCUCAAGCGUUGUUCGGAUUCAUUGGGCGUAAAGUGUGCGCAGGCGGCCGCGCAAGUCGAGUGUGAAAGCCCCGAGCUUAACUUGGGAACUGCGCUCGAAACUACGUGGCUGGAGUGUGGCAGAGGGAGGUGGAAUUCCACGUGUAGCGGUGAAAUGCGUAGAGAUGUGGAGGAACACCGAUGGCGAAGGCAGCCCCCUGGGU
rnacentral:rRNA from 1 species